GACGAACGCUGGCGGCGUGCUUAACACAUGCAAGUCGUACGGUAAGGCCCUUUCGGGGGUACACGAGUGGCGAACGGGUGAGUAACACGUGAGUAACCUGCCCACAACUUUGGGAUAACGCUAGGAAACUGGUGCUAAUACUGGAUAUGUGCUCCUGCUGCAUGGUGGGGGUUGGAAAGCUCCGGCGGUUGUGGAUGGACUCGCGGCCUAUCAGCUUGUUGGUGGGGUAGUGGCCUACCAAGGCGGCGACGGGUAGCCGGCCUGAGAGGGUGACCGGCCACAUUGGGACUGAGAUACGGCCAAGACUCCGACGGGAGGCAGCAGUGGGGAAUAUUGCACAAUGGGCGCGAGCCUGAUGCAGCACCGCCGCGUGCGGGAUGACGGCCUUCGGGUUGUAAACCGCUUUCAGCAGGGACGAAGCUUUUUGUGACGGUACCUGCAGAAGAAGCACCGGCUAACUACGUG
rnacentral:rRNA from 1 species